AUUGAACGCUGGCGGCAUGCCUUACACAUGCAAGUCGAACGGUAACGGGUCCUUCGGGAUGCCGACGAGUGGCGAACGGGUGAAUAAUAUAUCGGAACGUGCCCAGUAGUGGGGGAUAACUGCUCGAAAGAGCAGCUAAUACCGCAUACGACCUGAGGGUGAAAGGGGGGGAUCGCAAGACCUCUCGCUAUUGGAGCGGCCGAUAUCAGAUUAACUAGUUGGUGGGGUAAAGGCCUACCAAGGCAACGAUCUGUAGUUGGUCUGAGAGGACGACCAGCCACACUGGGACUGAGACACGGCCCAGACUCCUACGGGAGGCAGCAGUGGUGAAUUUUGGACAAUGGGCGCAAGCCUGAUCCAGCAAUGCCGCGUGCAGGAAGAAGGCCUUCGGGUUGUAAACUGCUUUUGUCAGGGAAGAAAUCUUCUGGGCUAAUACCCCGGGAGGAUGACGGUACCUGAAGAAUAAGCACCGGCUAACUACGUGCCAGCAGCCGCGGUAAGAC
rnacentral:rRNA from 1 species